ACUUUAUAAAAUACAUUAUAAACGACCUAUAUAAAAAUAUUAUAAAGUCCUGUCUCUGACCCAUCUAUUUGGAGGGUGAAGGGGAGGGUGGCAAAUGAGGGGUCCUUGAGACGGAGGAACGCUCGCUCGGGGUCACUCGUCCACUGCACCCAAUCCGACUGGCCCUUUCAUGUUAAAUCUAUGGGGGUUUUUACAUCUGGUCACUUCAUGCGUUUUCUGAGAUCCGAUAGCUAUCCGAUCGUAAAAAGACCAGGUUUAAAUGCCUCCGAAACGUUUUUGAGACGGAUAUAAAUCCGAUCAUUCAAACCACUUCAGGAGGUGGUCUGGGACUCAUUUCAGAUGAAACUGGAAAGGUGUAAAUGAAUGUGGUUGUUCAAGCCACAUACGUCAGCGCUAUACUCCUCCCAAACGGAAGUACGUCACUCGCAAGUGGGAAGGCCACAUUCUGGAAUAUCGCCCAAUCAUAAAAGAACAUCUUGAUGUGGCCCAGUGAGCCCACCAAAGAGCCUCCAACCGGCCAGCCCAGACAAGGGAGUUUGAACUGGGUAGAAUGGCUACUGGCAGUAAUGGUUCUACCUUUUCAUCUGCAUGGGGCAUCAGCCACCAUUCAGACCACCCUUUCGAUUUGGGAAGGUCCUGGGAGCCCUCCGGAAGGCCGUCUGUACUGCAAACCUAUGCAAAUCCCACCCGGGGCUGUGGAAGGCACAGUAUCUGAGAUAUAUCAUUGGCUGGGGGUUGUUGAAACCUGAAGAAAAGACAGUAAAGGCCAUUAGAGGAUACCACUGACCCACCACCAAGAAACAGAAUUAAUCUUUGCAGAUGCUUGAAGCUCUCGGUCUUGCGGUUUAUCUGGUUUUCCAGCGUGGAAGCGGCUUUCAGGUGGAGAUGUUGAAGUGGUGUGUGACGUGUAGACAGAUCUUCACCUCAGUGUGAUGUAGUGCUUCAGAGACUAGAGACAAAAAGACAGGCCUCUGUUACAUGUACGUGUUGGAAUCAUUUAUAAUAAAU